GGCCAAGGUUUCACCUGGUUGACAGAGGAGGAGGAGGCCGACGAAGACAUGACAGAAGGUCGCGCCGACGAGAAGGGUGAGAGAAUAAAGCCGAAAGCCAAGUUGGUGCUCUCGGAAGGGGGAGUCUAGGCCGGCAUUUAUAAGAGAGAGGAGCGUGGAUAUUUGGCAAGGGCGCAUCCCGUCGGAAAUAAGAAAGGCAAUAAAUAGAAAGGGCGUCGCGAAGGACGGUCAAAGCAGUUAUUAAAUGUUCAUACAAAAUAGUCAGUGUUUUACAGAUUACCCAGAAGGGUAUCGAUAGC
rnacentral:lncRNA from 1 species